rnacentral:lncRNA from 1 species
CAAUCUGGCAGAUCUAUUCAGUAAGCGUGCACACCUUAUAAAAUUUGGGAGUUUUAAUUCUGUAGAGGUUUCUUGUUGUUGCAUUUGGUAAUUAAUCUUGAAUCCUUGUACUAAUUAAUGGAUGACACUAACCUGAACUUAGGAAGACCUGGGUUCUUGACAGAAGGUGACACCUUUGGUAUGCUGGCAAGGACAAGCUAGCAAGGACGAUGGGAGGUGUUACUGUUUUUUCUAUCCCCUCAUGUGAUUUCUGUCCUUCAAAUUUUAUACCUGUGAUCUCUUUUUUUGUGUAUAUUUUGGCAGAUUCUGCGAAGCCCUCUAGAUUCAGUCUUCAAUCAUAGCAGGGCCUAUGAGUAGCAGUGGAUUAAAGGUAAUUGGAUCCAAAUUUGUUGAUCAAAUGGCAUCUCCCUUGCAAUUUAAUCCAUUUAUUCGUUCAACUAGUUGAAUUUGAAGUAUCCAACGAGUAACAAAUAUUAGGUUCCAAAUGAGUAGCAGUGGAUUAGUCAACGAUGAAAGGCUCAUACUGAAAUAUUAGCAUAUACUUUAUGGUACAGAGCAGUUCCGUGCAAGGCAUGCUUUUUCAGUUUUGAAGUGCCAUUUCCAGAUAGGUAGCAAUUACAUUUUAUCUUCAGAUUAGCUAGCCGGCAGUAGAGGUACAACAGCUUAGAUUAGCUUGCUGAUAGUUUUCCUGUUGACAAGAACGGUUCAUGCAGUUUUCAGUUCUCAUUAGCAUCUAUAGUUCCUCUUUAGUGAGUGAAUUUUUGUUCUGCAGUUUGUUUCAGAUUUCAGAAUUUUUGAAUAUAGUUCAGUCAAUCUCAGUCAUAUUCAGAGUAUCAGUUUCUGUAUUUUGUUCAGUUGUCGUAGUGCAUCAUUUGACACAGGUUUCAUUUUGUGAGUUGUCUUUUUCGUGCAAGAGUGAGGCAUCACUCGAGCAAUUACUUGUAGGUUGCAGACAUUUUUGAAAUAGCUCUGUUCAGAGAGUUCAACUCUCUAAUUCUAUGGUUUUAGUGUUUUAUUUUCUUGUAUUCAUAUUUCGGUUUUCAGGGCUUUAGAGGAGCAACUUGGCAAGUGGAGCGUAGCAGAGCAACUCAGAAAAUGCAUUUGUCGGAACCUGCUGUUUUUGAGUAGCUAAUGUGAUAUGAAGCUUAAGUUGUAUG